rnacentral:rRNA from 1 species
CCUACGGGAGGCAGCAGUAGGGAAUCUUCCGCAAUGGACGAAAGUCUGACGGAGCAACGCCGCGUGAACGAUGAAGGCCUUCGGGUCGUAAAGUUCUGUUGUCAGGGAAGAACAAGUAUCGGAGUAACUGCCGGUACCUUGACGGUACCUAACCAGAAAGCCACGGCUAACUACGUGCCAGCAGCCGCGGUAAUACGUAGGUGGCAAGCGUUGUCCGGAAUUAUUGGGCGUAAAGCGCGCGCAGGCGGUCCUUUAAGUCUGAUGUGAAAGCCCACGGCUCAACCGUGGAGGGUCAUUGGAAACUGGGGGACUUGAGUACUGAAGAGGAAAGUGGAAUUCCACGUGUAGCGGUGAAAUGCGUAGAGAUGUGGAGGAACACCAGUGGCGAAGGCGACUUUCUGGUCAGUAACUGACGCUGAGGCGCGAAAGCGUGGGGAGCAAACAGGAUUAGAUACCCUGGUAGUCCACGCCGUAAACGAUGAGUGCUAAGUGUUAGAGGGUUUCCGCCCUUUAGUGCUGCAGCUAACGCAUUAAGCACUCCGCCUGGGGAGUACGGCCGCAAGGCUGAAACUCAAAGGAAUUGACGG